rnacentral:rRNA from 1 species
AUUGAACGCUGGCGGCAUGCCUUACACAUGCAAGUCGAACGGCAGCACGGGUGCUUGCACCUGGUGGCGAGUGGCGAACGGGUGAGUAAUACAUCGGAACAUGUCCUGUAGUGGGGGAUAGCCCGGCGAAAGCCGGAUUAAUACCGCAUACGAUCUACGGAUGAAAGCGGGGGACCUUCGGGCCUCGCGCUAUAGGGUUGGCCGAUGGCUGAUUAGCUAGUUGGUGGGGUAAAGGCCUACCAAGGCGACGAUCAGUAGCUGGUCUGAGAGGACGACCAGCCACACUGGGACUGAGACACGGCCCAGACUCCUACGGGAGGCAGCAGUGGGGAAUUUUGGACAAUGGGCGAAAGCCUGAUCCAGCAAUGCCGCGUGUGUGAAGAAGGCCUUCGGGUUGUAAAGCACUUUUGUCCGGAAAGAAAUCCUUGGCCCUAAUACGGUCGGGGGAUGACGGUACCGGAAGAAUAAGCACCAGCUAACUACGU